GAUGAAGAACGCAGCGAAAUGCGAUAAGUAAUGUGAAUUGCAGAAUUUAGUGAAUCAUCGAAUCUUUGAACGCACAUUGCGCCCGCCAGUAUUCUGGCGGGCAUGCCUGUCUGAGCGUCAUUUCAACCCUCAUGCCCCUAGGGCGUGGUGUUGGGGAUCGGCCAAAGCCCGCGAGGGACGGCCGGCCCCUAAAUCUAGUGGCGGACCCGUCGUGGCCUCCUCUGCGAAGUAGUGAUAUUCCGCAUCGGAGAGCGAUGAGCCCCUGCCGUUAAACCCCCAACUUUCCAAGGUUGACCUCAGAUCAGGUAGGAAUACCCGCUGAACUUAAGCAUAUCAAUAAGCGGAGGA
rnacentral:misc_RNA from 1 species